GCAGAUACACCAGUAGCUGGAUGGUGCUCUCCUGGUCUGGAUGGUCCAGUACUGCAGAGGAAGACAACCAUCAACACAACUCCCUCUCAUUCUCACAGAUGCAGGCAGCACAUCUCCACCACCCUGGGAACCUGUCUAUAGAUGGGGUUGAGGCUAAGCUUCUUGUCCCUCUGCUUCUUCCUGUUGCUGGGUGUCUCGGCUGGUAGGGACAGCUGCAGGGCUUCCAGCAGGCGAGACUGAUUGUCAUCCAGGCGACAGAGAGAACUCACAUUCAUGUGAACAUUGUAGCAGAAGGCUGGGCAGCAGUUGGCAGUGCUGAUCAGUGGAGGCUGCUGAGGGGAGGACGGCUCAUAAUAAUGGCCGGAACGGAGCAAAUGGAACGGCAUCAAACACUUGGAAUCCAGGGAAACCAUAUGUUUGAUGUAUUUGAUACCAUUCCACUGAUUGAGCCCGUUCUCCCCAAUUAAGGUGCCACCCAACCUCCUGUGGUGCAGUUGUUGAAGCAGCCCUGGCUCUUUCAGGAGGAGGCUCCUACUGUAUAUUUUCCUCUCAGAGCUCGGUGGGUUGAAACAGCUGAGAAUGCUUGCUCUAGUGAGCUCCACAUAGCUCCAGUGAAACGGAUCAAAGUGUCAACGGAUGGCCCGGCCAGUGUGUGAGAUAACGGAACCCAGCUGGACAUGAACAAAGGUCUAGAGGACUCGGUGUCUGUCCCACAGCCUCCAACUAAAAAGAGCCAUGUUUAUCUACACUGAAAGAUCAACAUCAAUAUUAUCACUGACUACAUGCAAGACACUUUUCUCAAAUAUGCUGUAGUGAUGGAGAGAAUUUGAGAAUCCCCCAAUAUUGUCAUUGUAUGGUAUGGCGAGGUGAAAUAUCUCACCUUUUAUAUAUACUUUCCGAGGCAGUGGAGCCUGCUGAGAGGAGAAGGGCUCAUAAUAAUGGCUGGAACGGCGCAAAUGGAAUGGCAUCAAACACAUGCAAACCCGCUCCCACCAUUACCAUGAGCCCGUCCUCCCCAAUUAAGGUGCCACCAACCUCCUGUGUUCUGAGGGUAUUUUGAGUCUAGGGCUGCACCAUUGACAUGUGUAAUAUCCAUAUCACAUGCAAUAUUUUGAAAUGCCACUCAGCAGUGUGUAAUGUCCGUUUGUAUAGUUUACUCGUUUGUUGUCUCUCUCCUCUAGCGGCUGCUUCCCACACACACCAAGCCCUGCCCCCUGUCACUCAAGCAGUACGCUUCCUCUGCUGUUAGAUCCAAUAUACGUUUGCAUGCUGUUCUGUUAGGUCAAAUGCAGUCAACACAUUGUUCCAAACAAGAACGAUGGUGCUCUCCAUUUUGUUUCUUAAUAUAAAUCAUUGUAUUUCUAUGAUUCCAACAGGUCACCAAAGUGUUUUGAUCUAUAUCGCAAGUCAAAUUGCAAAAGCAGUAUUUGGCUAACAAAAGAAAAUCGCAACGAAAUGUUUUUCCCAUUUUGUGCAGCCCUACUUGAGACAUAUUACUACAUAAAAUAAACAUAGCAAACUCAUGUGACUAAUUAAUGGAACUACCUUUGUCUUUACUCAUCUCUUUGGCCAGUGAAUCCAACUUCCUCCUGAGGGACUUCUUACGCUUUUGACCAUCUAAGAAAAAAAACAAAAAACACUUCCACAAUAUUGCAUUACCAUACACAAAUGUUUUCAUCACUCAUCACAAUCACUCAAAAAUAUACUUAAACAGACAACCCAAGCAUAAAUCAUAAUAUUUAAAAUGUGGAAUAUGAAUCCUAAUCCUAGUUUUCAAUAGCACUGUUAAAGUCACAUGUGACAAUCCACACAAAAACAUGGCCGGAUAUACUGUGUCUUGUCUUUUCUAACUCAAUCCAUAUGUAGAAAGGGUGGUUCUAAUGUCUGCUACUAUUUCAGAUUACAUUUCAUGUGUUUUUCCUACAGUUGACUGUUUACUUUUCAUGCUAGUGUUUUCUAAAGAUUGAAUGCUGUAGUUAUUGCGAGUGACUGUUGAUGGCAGUGCAUGUCUAUAGGGUGCCUGUCCCAUGUUAACCUAAAAUAGUUAAGGCAGGAGCACACGAGGAAAUGUAAUCCAAGACAGAGCCUGGCUGACCAGAAACAGACCAUGAGGUGAAGAUAGACAACCUCACACCACGACAAGACAGUUGAAAUAAAAAACUCAUACAGCUACAUAACAAUAAUUUACUAUCUU